CCCUUAGAUGUUCUGGGCCGCACGCGUGCUACACUGAUGCAUUCAACGAGUCUAAAACCUGGUCUGAUAGGGCUGGGUAAUCUUUUGAAAGUGCAUCGUGAUUGGGAUAGAUGAUUGCAAUUAUUAAUCUUCAACGAGGAAUGCCUAGUAGGCGCAAGUCAUCAGCUUGCGUCGAUUACGUCCCUGCCCUUUGUACACACCGCCCGUCGCUCCUACCGAUUGGGUGUGCUGGUGAAAUGUUCGGAUCGGCCGUUUGUCGCGGUUUCCGCGUCAUGUGGCUGAGAAGUUCAUUAAACCCUCCCACCUAGAGGAAGGAGAAGUCGUAACA
rnacentral:rRNA from 1 species